rnacentral:misc_RNA from 1 species
AACGCACGAGACCUGCGGACCUGCGGAGGGAUCAUUACCGAGUUUACAACUCCCAAACCCAAUGUGAACGUUACCAAACUGUUGCCUCGGCGGGAUCUCUGCCCCGGGUGCGUCGCAGCCCCGGACCAAGGCGCCCGCCGGAGGACCAACCUAAAACUCUUUUGUAUACCCCCUCGCGGGUUUUUUAUAUCUGAGCCAUCUCGGCGCCUCUCGUAGGCGUUUCGAAAAUGAAUCAAAACU